rnacentral:lncRNA from 1 species
ACCAGCAAGGACAGCGGCUGCUACAUGUCUCUGCAACCGUGCCUUUCUGUUACGGCUGCUGCUAUCCCAACAGUCACAGUGAGCCAUCCCGUGAACAAGGGAAAACCCGCCCUACCCUCCUCUUUGGUGUCUCUCUCAAGGACACAGGCCACUGUGUGAUUUCCGCUACGUCCACGAAAAGCACUGCUAAAUGUGUGUUAUCCAACAGGGGUCCAUUUCGACGUGCCAUCUCCAGAGGUUCCAAAAUCCCGUCUCUCUGCGAGCCUGCAGGAGUUAGGUCCUGAAACUGGGAGGAAAGGUGUGGGGUGAGGCCAUUCAGAGAGACCCAAGCGAACCCCAAAGCCCUUCUGAAGAGACAGGAGCACGUAUGAAUGAUGUGACGGCUCACCGAAGCUAGCGAGAGGGAGCCACAGAAUCUGGGUGUGAGAAUGCUGUGUGUUUAUCACUGGACCACGCACUCCCUCAACAAACAUUCACUGACAGUGAAUUCGUACGGACACAGGCUCCAACACACAGGACCCUCGAAAACAGGACACUAAGUGCAAGAAUCCCGAUACGAAAGGGCUCCCAGCAUACGACUGCGCCCACGCGGACCAUCCGGAAGAGGGAGGUCCAGAGACACGCAGAGCAGACACGCGGAGCGCCCUUUGCCCUUUCCGUGAUGACACGCCGGUCGUCUGGAGCAUCUGUUACCGCACACUGCCACCGUCAGGAGCUCCCGGACAGCGGCGAGCCGCUUGCAGGCGACCCACGGGAACGGCCCCGGCAGCUUUCCUUCUACCUCUUCCCCUCCUUCUGCAGGCCGUCAGGGAGUUCUGCUCCCGGGGACAGCAUGUCCGUCCCUGCGAGUCUCCCUUCCUUGUCCUACCUCGUGAGCUGCGCCGACUUCCAUGGUCUCAGAAACCCUCGCUCUACACUUGUCGCCGGCGCCCCUGGCACGAUAGGGUGAAGGCCGUGAGCUCAGGGGGUGGGGGGGUUUCCUCUUCCUGGGGUUCUGGGCUGCGUUUGGGAUCAGCAUGCUCAUGGGAAAGUGGCCUCCGAGUAAGGGAGGCGUUCCUCUGUGUACUGACCCCGAGGUCCACAGGUGACAGUGGAGUUUCUGGCCACUGAGAAAAUGCUCCUGCUGAACGCUGGAGUCACCAAAGGCCACGCGCCACCUUCUCGGGCAGGCCUCUGAUUGGAGAGGGGCCCCUCCUGGUCCCCACACCUCCAAGCUCUCCUGCCCUUCUCAAGCUCCAUCUAAGUGAUUUUUAAAAACAAUGCCUAGGUCUCGUCUGGCUCAGAGGAAUGGGGACUGAACUGGCGUGGCAGCAGAUGAACACUCCAGGGAAAGAUUCCCGGGGCCGCUGCGGAUCAGACUCCCUGGGUUCAAAUCCCAGCUCUGCUGCUUGGAAGUGUUUGAUGUGAGGCGGGAGGUCCCAACACCAUGCCUCAGUCUUCCCAUCUGUAUCUACUUACGGGUGCUGUGGGAGGAUUAAAGAAGUCACUGUUCCUAAAAAUGCUAACCUCAGCAACUCCCUUCUAGGUAUACAGCCCAAAGAAUCGAAAGCAGGGACUCAAACAAACACGGACAUUCGCGGCGGCAUCGUUUGCAAUAACUACAAGGUGGACACAAGCCAAAUGUCCCAUCAGCAGGUGAGUGGCCACACCAAACACCCUCCAUCCACAGCGGAAUAUUAGCCAGCCAGAAAAAGGAACGGCAGACUGACACAAGCAAGCUACACUAGGGAUGAACCUUGAAAGCCUCACGCUACAUGAAAGAAGCCGGUCAGAGCAGACCACGUAUGGUUGGAGCCCAUUUACUUGAAGCUUCCAGAACAGGGAAAGCUGUAGGACAAAACACAGAUGGAUGGUUGCCAGGGGCUGGAGGAGGGGCGCAGGGGGAAGCGAGCAGUGACUUCUCAUGGGCGCAGAGUUUCCUGCUGGAGGGGUGGACAUGUUCUGGAAUCAGAGAGAAGAGAUGGUUGUGCAACAGUAUUUACUUCAGAGUGAUUAAUUUCAUGUAACGUGGAUUUUAUCUGAAUUUCUAAAGCCUUAUUAGCUCAGUGCCCAGUACAAGGCUCACUGUGUCCAAGGCGCUGGUGCCAGGAAACCGUCCCAGGCUCCUGUCUGUCCAAGAAAUGGGUCCGGUCAUAGCCGUGCCCUCACAAUGCAUGAUGGCCAAGGCAUAGGGAGAGGUGGGGAGAGGAGGAAGGGGUGCGGCAGCUGCUAAAGCAGGUGCCUCCAAAGGCAGGCCAGGAGGCGGCUCCGCACCCUCCCCUCCUUGCCUACAAGGGUCCUUAGAGGAGCAGGAACUCUUAUGAACCCGAAGAUCCUGACUGGUUGGGCUCUACCUGAAACAUCUCUUCCUUAGAAAGACAACCGGGGACCUAUCUAUCCUAGUUUAGUGUUUUGCAAGCCUGUUCUAUCAUUUCUUCUUCUUUUUUUUUUCUUUUCUUUAAGCAGCAGAAGCUUUCUUCAAAUGAAAUCUUUGUCCAGAGUCCCAACAGGCAAAACAUAAAGCAGGUGCCCCUCAGGGGACAGGGUGGUCGGGAGGGCCCGGGACUCUCUCCCAUUCUGCUCUGGUUCGGGAACCAUCUCUCCAAGCCCGCGUCUCCUCCCACUGUCCCAGCGAGAUACCCCAAAAAACAGGCCCAGCAGGUUUCUGCUGAUUGCUUUAGGAAGGAGGCUCAAGGUGAACCCUUUUCUCUAAGGGGAAGAAUUACUUUCAAGAAUUACUUUCAAGGCAGAAGCUGCCUUCUAAAGACUAAAGGGUUGUCCUGAGUGAGGAGAAGGUACUAGACUUGUGGGUGGCCCAAGUGAAAAUCUGGAACACCUGUCUCCCAACUCUUGGUCAAAUGCUCCUUUCCCCGAUCCCAUCAGCCAGCGUGGAGAAGAGAGAAGACACUGCUGGAGAGCUCAGCUGAUGCCAAGGGACAAGUGAUGCGGGACCUCGCAGGCAGUGGAGGGCUCCAGGGCGGCAGCUGGCUUGGGCUCACCUCUGUCAUCGCCCUCCCCUGAGGACCAGCAGGGAGAGAGGUCUGGCUUAUCUGCAAUGGCAUGUCCCUGUAGCCAGUACAAGCAGGGAGCAGGUGUUGCUGCUUCCAGGUCUCAGCCCCCAGAGAGGGCCACCAAGCAUGCCAGCACACAGCCUUCUGGGAUGUCUUCCACGUGGAAAAGCCCAGGGCGUCCUUACCCAGCCUCUCAGGAAAAAUAUCCUGCCCAUCAGCCCGUCCAUGACAAUUUCAUACUUUUUGGGCUGAAGGGACCAGGGGAAGGGAGGGGAAGUUCACAAGGACAGCUCUAAUGUGGGUUCCAAGAGAUCAUUUUUUGAAUGAAAGACAAAGGAAGGGAGGGAAAAAGGGAGAGAGGAAAGGAGAGGUUCCAUAGACAAAUACAUUUAGAAAACUGUCACUCCCCUCCCUGAGGUUUAUUAUAUAUUAUAUAAUAAAUUCGCAAUAAUAUAUUAAAGGCACUGAGAAGUCCUGCAGCCAUGAAACUUGCCUACACUGCUUCUAUGUUACAGAAUCUUCGGUGGUGUUUGUUCUGUCGUGGUGGUGAUGGUUACUAUUUUUACUUUUUGCUAGCACCCCUGUUAUCGUAUAUAACAAAAUUCAUUUUGGGAAAUACUUGGUGAAGACACUUCUGGCACCACCAGGAAGGAAGGGGUUG